rnacentral:lncRNA from 1 species
UUAUACUAGUCUACUAUAUAAGAAUAUGUAUAAAACAUUAGAAAUUUGAAAUGUUUAGCUAGGCCAGUGUUUGUAAGGAUAUGUCAGGUUGGCUUUUUAACAUAAUGUACUGUUUUGUGUUUCUGGGGUGAUGUGUAUGGUUGUGUGUUGAGUAGCUCUUUUGGAAAUUAGAGGACAACUCUGAGGAGUUGGUUCUAGUUCACCUCAUAGGUAUUGAACUCAGGUACUUGAUUGGCCUGAGGGACAAGUGCUUCCCUUGGUACACCAUCUUGCUGGUCCUGUUUGUAUCCAAAAGGACAUGUGCCAUAGUAUCCCAAGCAUUUAGGGGUUUUGUUUGUUUUGUUUUGUUUUUUGGAGGGUUUUUCUGUGUAGAGCUAGUUGUCCUGGAAGUCAUAGAGAUCUGUGUGCCUCUGCUUUCUCAAUGUUAGGAUUAAAGGCAUGAGUGUGCCUCCUCCAUCACUGGCUCUGAGCACUUUUUUCCCUAAUAUUUAUUUAUGUUUGUGAGUACAGUGUAGUUGUCUUUACACACACCAGAAUAGGGCAUUGGAUCCUAUUACAGAUGGUUAUAUAAGAGCCACCAUGUGCUUGCUGGGAAUUGAACUCAGGACCUCUGGAAGAACAGUCCAUGUCCUUAAAUGCUGAGCCAUUUCUCCACUCUGAGCACAUUUUAAUGUUAUAUAUUUGAGAAAUCAAAAUUAAUGAUUUAAGAAAUUAUUUUUUUAAUGUGCAUUGAUGCUUUUUGCCUGAAUGUAUGUCUGUGUGAGAAUGUCAGAUCUUAGAAGUCUAGACAGUUGUGAGCUGCUGUGUGGGUGCUGGGAAUUGAACCCAUGUCCUAGAAGAACAUUCAGUGCUCUUAAUUGCUGAGCCAUCUCUGUAGCUCCAAAAUAUAUUAUUUUCAGGGUGUUUAAUAUUUAAAAUUUAUGCCCAGGGACUCACAGACUUUUCUUUCGUAGAGAUAUUUCCUACAAAGAAUUGCAUAUCCUCUUUAUUUCACAGCAGUUGAGUUAUUUUGAUAGGCAGUUCUUUGUAGUAAAUUUUAUAUGUAUCUCUGCAUAUUAGUUAUGAUUGUAUUUAAACUUUGUUGGCAUUAAUGUAGUUAAACUUUGUUUUAGUUCUUGUGAUAUCUAAUUCUUCAAGUUGGACUUGUGCUUCUCCUGUUUUUAGAUAACAUAGCUAAAAGGGAUGAGAUUCAACUGUUGGAAACAGUAGCCAUUGGUGGUUUGAAAUGACAGUCUUCAUGUGAUUUCUACUGUUAACAUGUGAUUUAAGUGAUCAUGUUUUUAUGGUCAGAAAAUUGGCAUGUAUUCUGACCAUGUUAAUAAUGACUUGAUGAUGUUCAGUGGUACACAUCUUAUAAAGAACUAUUAUAUUUAUGAAUUUUGUCAUAUUUCUUUUACCUUAUGCAUGCUAGGUGAGCAUUUUGUUACUGAGCCCUCUAUGACCGCACCUCAUAGGAAGUGGUCAAGAGUCCAAUACAGCGCACAAAGAUUUGUCCCAAUUGACGUGCAAGUAUUCCUGGUCAAGGGUCUUGCCAAAAAUUUCAGCUAGAAUACAAUUAUUUUGUAAGUUCUAAUAACUAACUUUCCUGUCAACGUCUUUAUAUUAGUAACUUAGAACAGUUGCAGCUAUAAUCAGAUUAUAGGUAGAAACAUGUUUUAGUUGAGAGGCACUGGCAUUUUUUUUUUUUUUACAUACAAGGAUUUUUUUUUUGUUUUUGUUUUUUAACAUUAAUUUAUUUUAUUUAUAUGAAUAAGUACACUGUAGAUGUCUUCAGACACACCAGACAAGGGCAUUAGAUCUUCUUACUGAUGGUUGUGAACUACCAUGUGGUUGCUGGGAAUUGAACUCAGGACCUCUGGAAGAGCAGUCAGUGCACUUAACCCCUAAGCCAUCUAUCCAGACCAAAAUACAAGUUUUUAAUAUGAGUUAAAUACAAUGGAAGAUUUUUAGAAAAAUUGCAUGCUAUUUAAAUAAUUUGAUAUUAAAUAUGUACAUUUUUCAUAUAGGUUUUGAUACUGAUUUUCUAAGACUUUAUCUCACUUAUGAAAAAAAGAUAUUGGAUAUGACAGACCUCUUUGUGGCAUAUUUGCCUGGUGACGCUUUUUCACACUCUGUGUGUUUGUAUGUUUAGGAUUCUUGUUUUAAUAUAAGUUUUAAUAUAAACUUUUGUUUUCUUUUUUAGCUGGAGACAUGACUCAGGGUUUGUUUGUUUGUUUGUUUGUUUGUUUCACAGAACCUGGGUUCUGUUAUGAGCACCUACAUCAGCUUAAAAAUUGCUUGUAAUUCUAGUCCCAAGAGGAUCAGACAUCCUUGCAAACACAUACAAAAUAAACCAAACCAAAAAAAAAAAAAAAUUUUUUUUUUAUUUUCAGGGCUAGAGAGAUGGCUCAGCAGUAAAAGCACUGGCUGCUCCAGAGGUCCUCAGGUCUUUGUAAUUACUGGUAUUUUCCUUUAUAGAAUUUGUAUUUUUGUCUUCACAAAUAAUACAAAUAUCUGAAUUACAAAGCUUUUAUAUAUUUCAUAUUUCUUUUUAUUUAUCUUAGAAAACAUCUCAAAGAGUAAUGGAAAUUAAAAAAAUUAAAAGUUAUUAUGGCUGAGUGUAUGAUACACACCUGACGUCCCAGUUCUAGAAGCAGGAGUAGUUUAAUAUCAGAUAGAUCUAUAGCCUGUCUAAAACAAAGAAACAUAGAAAAAAAUUAUAGUCUAAAUUUAAAGUGUUAUUAGAUACUAUUAGAUAUUUAUAGAUAACUACUAUUUAAAUAAAUGAAACGUUUGAGUAUUGUGCCAGGUUAGUCAAUAUUUUAUUUCUACAUAUUUUCAAUUUCUACAAUAUUUCAAUAUUAAACUGUUAGAGAGUGCUUACGUGUUAAAAGAACUUGCUAGUCUUGAAAAGGAUACAAUUCAGUUAUCAGUAUGCAUACAGGAGAAACUUACAACCUGUCUUUAGCUCCAGUAUCAGGGCAUCAGACAGUUUCUUCUGCCCUUCUGGCCCCUGUGUGUAUGCCAGAAAAC